AGGAGACGGAGGUUUGAGCAGCGGCAAAAAUGGAAGCGGCGAGAGAAAACAGCGGUUUUAAAGGAAUAAAAGCAUUUUAGGUUGGAACGGUGACAUGUAUUCAGUGCAGCGCGUCCUUGCCUCCCAAAACAGCGCGUUUUAAUGCUGCACCAUCUGAGCUGAGGACAGCCGAGAGAGCAGGUCCUGAUAUAUUUUGGAGAAGUGGCUUGGUGGUAAAAGAAUGCAGCACACUGAUCCAACACUGGCAGAACUGACAACGUCUCUGCUGUUCAGAAGCUAAGAUGCACAACACAAAGACAAUGUUUAUGCCUUUUUUAUUGAUUAAUACCCUAUAUUUGAUACUUACAAGAAAUCCAAAAUUGAAAGUAAUGUAAUUAAAUGUAUUUUUGUAAUUGUGGUAUUUAUUUCUUUAUUGUGGUUUAUUUAUUUGUAUUUGCAAUUUGGAAAUGUAUGUUGUGAUUUUAAAAAUAUAACUUAUCUAAACAAGGAAA